AGAUUUAUGUGUGACUGGCGUAGCAUGGGCAACCAUGAGGGAGCACAUAAAUGAAACGGCCGUACGCCUGGGCAGAGGUA
rnacentral:ncRNA from 2 species